AAGUCGAAGGAGAAGCACCUUUCGGGGUGUGGACACUGGCGCACGGGUGAGUAACGCGUGGGAAUCUACCCCGGGGUGGGGAAUAACCGCUGGAAACGGCGGCUAAUACCGCAUACGCCUUAAGAGGGAAAGCUUUAGCGCCCUGGGAUGAGCCCGCGUUAGAUUAGGUUGUUGGUGGGGUAAUGGCCUACCAAGCCUACGAUCUAUAGCUGGUCUGAGAGGAUGAUCAGCCACACUGGGACUGAGACACGGCCCAGACUCCUACGGGAGGCAGCAGUGGGGAAUAUUGGACAAUGGGGGCAACCCUGAUCCAGCCAUGCCGCGUGCGUGAAGAAGGCCUUAGGGUUGUAAAGCGCUUUCACUGGUGAAGAUGAUGACGGUAGCCAGAGAAGAAGCCCCGGCUAACUCCGUGCCAGCAGCCGCGGUAAUACGGAGGGGGCAAGCGUUGUUCGGAAUUACUGGGCGUAAAGGGCGCGUAGGCGGAAUAUCAAGUUAGGGGUGAAAGGCCUGGGCUCAACCUAGGAACUGCCUUUAAAACUGAUAAUCUAGAGUCCGGAAGAGGAUGGCGGAAUUCCCAGUGUAGAGGUGAAAUUCGUAGAUAUUGG
rnacentral:rRNA from 1 species